UUAACUCAACACCAAGUUUGUUUCUUUUGGUUUGCAGAUGAACUCGAUAAAUGCAGCGAUAGACAGACGAAUCUCAGAGAGUAGGCUUGCUGGGCGGAUGGCGUUUUAGAAUUUGGCACCAAACCAAACCAGCGUCAAAGAAAAGG